AAUGGCUGCAGUAAUUUGACUGUACAAAGGUAGCAUAAUCAUUAGUUUUUUAAUUAAAAGCUUGUAUGAAAGGUUGGACGAAAUAAAAUCUGUCUCUUUUUAAUAUAAUUAGAAUUUAAUUUUUAAGUUAAAAAGCUUAAAUAAAUUUAAAAGACGAGAAGACCCUAUAGAGUUUAAUAAUUUUUUUUUUUAAUUAAUUUAGAUUUAUUUAUUUUAUUUUAAAAAAAUUAUUUUAUUGGGGUAAUAGAAAGAUUAAAAUAAUUCUUUUUUAAAAAAAUCAUUAAUUUAUGAAAAUUUAUGAUCCAUUGAAUUUUGAUUAUAAGAUUAAAUUACCUUAGGGAUAACAGCGUAAUUUUUUUUAAGAGUUCAUAUCGAUAAAAAAGUUUGCGACCUCGAUGUUGGAUUAAAGAUUAAUUUAGGUGUAGAAGUUUAAA
rnacentral:rRNA from 1 species